rnacentral:tRNA from 1 species
GCCGAGGUGGCGGAACUGGCAGACGCGCAGUCUUGAGGUGGCUGUGGGAGAAAUCCUGUGGAGGUUCGAGUCCUCUCCUCGGCACAA